UACGUAGGGUCCGAGCGUUGUCCGGAAUUAUUGGGCGUAAAGGGCUCGUAGGCGGUCCGUCACGUCGGGAGUGAAAACUCAGGGCUCAACCCUGAGCGUGCUUCCGAUACGGGCGGACUAGAGGUAUGCAGGGGAGAACGGAAUUCCUGGUGUAGCGGUGGAAUGCGCAGGAUAUCAGGAGGAACACCGGUGGCGAAGGCGGUUCUCUGGGCAUUACCUGACGUGAGAGCGAAAGCAUGGGGAGCGAACAGG
rnacentral:rRNA from 1 species